rnacentral:rRNA from 1 species
UACGAAGGGGGCUAGCGUUGUUCGGAAUUACUGGGCGUAAAGCGCACGUAGGCGGGUUAUUAAGUCAGGGGUGAAAUCCCGGAGCUCAACUCCGGAACUGCCUUUGAUACUGGUAAUCUAGAGAUCGGAAGAGGUUAGUGGAAUUCCCAGUGUAGAGGUGAAAUUCGUAGAUAUUGGGAAGAACACCAGUGGCGAAGGCGGCUAACUGGUCCGAUACUGACGCUGAGGCGCGAAAGCCAGGGGAGCAAACGGG